GACGAACGCUGGCGGCGUGCUUAACACAUGCAAGUCGAACGGAAAGGCCCUGCAUUUGUGGGGUGCUCGAGUGGCGAACGGGUGAGUAACACGUGAGUAACCUGCCCUUGACUUUGGUAUAACUUCAGGAAACUGGGGCUAAUACCGGAUAGGAGCUCCUGCUGCAUGGUGGGGGUUGGAAAGGUUCGGCGGUUGGGGAUGGACUCGCUGCUUAUCAGCUUGUUGGUGAGGUAGUGGCUUACCAAGGCUUUGACGGGUAGCAGGCCUGAGAGGGUGACCGGCCACAUGGGGACUGAGAUACGGCCCAGACUCCUACGGGAGGCAGCAGUGGGGAAGAUUGCACAAUGGGCGGAAGUCUGAUGCAGCAACGCCGCGUGCGGGAUUACGGCCUGCGUGUGUUAAACCGCUUUCGCCUGUGACGAAGCGUGAGUGACGGUAAUGUGUAAAGAAGCACCGGCUAACUACGUG
rnacentral:rRNA from 1 species